rnacentral:rRNA from 1 species
UACAGAGGGUGCGAACGUUGCUCGGAUUUACUGGGCGUAAAGCGCUUGUAGGCGGACUGAUGUGUCGGGUGUGAAAUCCCUGAGCUUAACUCAGGAACUGCAUUCGAAACUAUCAGCCUAGAGGAGUUGAGAGGAGAACGGAAUUCCCGGUGUAGAGGUGAAAUUCGUAGAUAUCGGGAGGAACACCAGAUGCGAAGGCGGUUCUCUGGAAACUAUCUGACGCUGAGAAGCGAAAGCGUGGGGAGCAAACAGGAUUAGAUACCCUGGUAGUCCACGCCGUAAACGAUGAGCACUAGAUGCUGUAGAAAUUGACCUCCGCAGCGUCGCAGUUAACGCGUUAAGUGCUCCGCCUGGGGAGUACGGCCGCAAGGCUAAA